GCAGAUCCUAGGGAAACAAAAAAGCAAGCAAUGUCUGGAUCAGCCUCUCCAAAGAGAAGAAUCCCACCUGUCUGAUUUUUCCAGACUAUUCAGUGCCUUUUGAACGUACGGCCAAAACCUUUGUACAUCAGAAGGAACUGGGUGCCACAUCCCAGACACAAUCUCAUUUCCUUCUAGUAACCAAAGGGGAACAAGAAUCUUGGGACAAUAAGCUAGGGCUACCUACUCCAUACCCAGGCCCUUUUUUCUUUUUUUUUUUAAAGGGCUCCAGCCAUGUAUCUAUAAGAGUUGUCUACUUCCAUUACUGCAUCUCCUGGAAUUGGCUCCUUGCUCUCAAGACCUCCUAGAUACUGAAUGGCUUUCUGACUAUCAGGCUCCAGAUCUCUGAAGACCAAUGAGUUCUACUCUUUAUAGAGAUGUUCAGGAGGGCUUAACCAGCAAUUGUUGGGAUGAGGAAAUAGAAACCCAAGAGCUUGAGUGGUUGGACCAAGGUCCCAAGACCGAGGACUCUAAUCUACAUGUCAGUGCUAAGAACUUCCCACCACAGUAUGCUAAGUCCCUGCAAUCAGUUUCCAGCUUUUUAGAAGUUGCUCCUGACAUCUAUCUGUGGCUGAAACAGAGUGAGGGAGGUAAAGAAGUCUCAUGGACUUUGGUAAGCCAGUGCUCAAAGACAGAAGUUGGUGGAGUUAUUUUCAACAUUCCUCCCAGGACAAGAAAUGGCAUUUCAUCAGACACUUGUUCUUCUCACCUCACAGUGCUCAUGAUGAACACAAGCAAAAAGACCACCAUGAUUGAAUGAAUGAACAGGAGUAACAAGCCAAUAGUUGUUGCAGAGAAUAAGGAGGUAGAGAAUGCUUAAGAUCCUCCAGAACAAGUCAAUACAUCUCAAUAUUUGGUAACAACAGUGCGAAAGUGGAUGUCCGGAGGGGGGGAGGGAAAUGGUGAAGUGUAAGAUUUAAAUUAAUAUCCAAUAAUUCCAAGUAUUAUAUUUUAUAAGAUUUAUUAAUAAUCACUUGAAGUAGAAGAAAAAAGAAAUAGAAGUAAAACUCGCCUGCUUCUCACCUCACCCCACCUCCACAAACCAGGAUCAGGGGAAAAGAAGCCAAGGCGCAGAGCUACACAAAACUUAUAUUCUCCCUACCUCAGCUUGUAAUGUGAGAAGGAACAUGGAAAGCUGGGAUUUAGAGUCCUGGGAAACAAAAUCUAAUUAUAUAGAAAGAAAUGUUCUGGAUUAAAAAAGGAAGAGGCUAAAGGCUUAUUGACAAUAGAAAAGUCUCACACCUAUAAAUCCUAUAUACAUUUUUCAAGAUGAGUUGUAAACCUUGAAUAACAUCACAGAAGAGGAAAAUUAUCUUUAUGGACAGGUUAUUAAUAUAGGAGUCAUUCCUAAUCAGUGAUCUUUCUUCAACUAUACCAUUGGCUUGCCAGAAUAAAAAAUCAAAAUGAGCAGCAGAAGAAAUGAUUUUAAAUUUAGGCAUACCUUAUUUUAUUGCACUUCACAGAUACUGCAGUUUUUACAAAUUAAAAGUUUGAGGCAACCCUGUAUUAAGCAAGUCUAUCAGUGUCAGAUAACAUUGUAUCUCUGUAUCACAUCUGGGUAAUUCUCACACUAUUCAAACUUUUUCAUUAUAUCUGUUAUGGUGAUCUAUGAUCAGUGAUCUUUGAUAUUAUCAACAUAAUUGUUUUGGGGUGCCACAAAGCAUGCUCAUAUAAGACAACAAACAUAAUAGAUAAAUGUUGUGUGUCUUCUGUCUGCUCCAACAACCAGCCAUUCCCAAUCUCUCUCCCUCUCCUCAGGCCUCCCUGUUCUGUGAGAUGUAACAAUAUGAAAAUUAGGCCAAUUAAUAACCCUGCAGUGGCUUCUAAGUAUUUAAAUGAAAGGAAGAGUCAGACAAUGCAGCAAACUUCAUUACUGUCUUAUUUUAAGAAAUUGCCACAGCUCAAAAUAGGGACAUUAAUUCAUUGCUGGUGGAGCUGUGAACUGAUCCAACCAUUCUGGAGGGCAAUUUGGAACUAUGCCCAAAGGGUGCUAAAAGAAUAUCUACCCUUUGACCCAGCCAUAGCACUGCUGGGUCUGUACCCCAAAGAGAUAAUGGACACAAAGACUUGUACAAAAAUAUUCAUAGCUGCGCUCUUUGUGGUGGCCCAAAACUGGAAAAUGAGGGGAUGCCCAUCAAUUGGGGAAUGGCUGAACAAACUGUGGUAUAUGUUGGUGAUGGAGUACUAUUGUGCUAAAAGGAAUAAUAAAGUGGAGAAGUUCCAUGGAGACUGGAACAACCUCCAGGAAGUGAUGCAGAGCGAGAGGAGCAGAACCAGGAGAACAUUGUACACAGAGACAAACACACUGUGGUAUCAUCGAACGUAAUGGACUUCUCCAUUGGUGGUGGUGUAAUGUCCCUGAACAACUUGCAGGGACCCAGGAGAAAAAAACACCAUUCAUAAGCAAAGGAUAAACUAUGGGAGUGGAAACACCGAGAAAAAGCAACUGCCUGAAUACAGAGGUUGAGGGGACAUGACAGAGGAUAGACUCUAAAUGAACACUCUAAUGCAAAUACUAUCAACAAAGCAAUGGGUUCAAAUCAAGAAAACAUGUAAUGCCCAGUGGACUUACGCGUCGGCUAUGGGGGGUGGGGGGGGGAGGAAAAGAAAAUGAUCUAUGUCUUUAACGAAUAAUGCUUGGAAAUGAUCAAAUAAAAUAUAUUAAAAAAAAAAAAGAAAUUGCCACAGCUACUUCAGCCUUCAGCAAUAACCACCCAGAUAUGUCAGCAGCCAUCAACAUGGCAGCAAGAUCCUCCACCGGCAAUGAUGACAAUUCAUUGAAGUUUAGCAUUUUUUAUCAAUAAAAGAUUUUAAAUUAAUGUAUAUGUUAUUUUUGUAGAUGUAAUAUUAGCUCACAUUUGAUAGAUUAUAUCAUAAUAUAGACAUACUUUUAUAUGCACUGAGAAACCAAAAAAUAUAUGUGUCCUGCUUUAUUUACUGUGGUGGUCUGUAAUGAAAUUUGCAAUAUAUCCAAGGUAUGCCUA